AUGACCGAGAAACCUCUUCGGCUAAUAACCAACAGCGGAAACUGGAUGCCCAUAAUGGUUCCUACAUAUUGUACGAAGAUCUUUAUUGGUCAAACCGUAAUGACAACAUACGUUAUUCCCUUUGUCAUAUGUAUGUUACUUGCCCGAGAUUCGAUCGUCGAUAUCUUCAUACCUAGUUCAAUCUCAUUACUGGCAAGUCUCUUUGCUCGUUUUGUAAUACAUCAUCCCGCAACUAACUCAUUAGUCACUUUGCUUGCAAGGCUUCUUAUGAUGUGUAUUACCGAGAUGGCCCAGAGAUUCCUCUCCGAUACUCGGAGUGACAAAUCCUAA
rnacentral:rRNA from 1 species